AACUCUCUCUCUUUCUGAUUGAGUGUAAGCUGCUAUAUGAAGGGAUCCACAAGACGAAUAAUUAAGGGGGACCUCUGAUCAACAGCCAGCAAGGAACUGAAUCCCUCAGACCCACAACUCACAAGAAACUGAAGCUGAAGCAGAUUCUUCCUCAGUCAAGCUUCAGGUGCCCAGCUGUAUUGGUAGAGGAGACCAACCACACCCUCCACAGCACAGCACCUGGAGAGGAACUGCUGCCAUGACCAUAGAGGACACCCUCUGGAUACAAUGCCAGACUUGAUGUGGGACUGACCAACCUAUGGACCCCAGGCACCACCACCCAGACCUGCUCAGCACCUGAAACAUUCACAGCCGUGGAGAGAGAACUGUUCACUGCUACCAUCCACACUUCUGGGCCCCUUCAGCAGCAGGGUGACAAGGAAGAGGGAAAUCGACUUGGAAAAGAGGGGACCUCUGACCCAAGAGUUCGGUCAAUGCAUAUGUUGGCAGCCAGCUGCACAUCGCACCAAAUAUGAACUUCAAAUAGAAGAAAGCCUCAUUUGGAAGAAAGCUCAUGCACAGACUGUAAAUAUUUCAGAGCAGAUUGUGUCUCUGUAGAUUAACCGGAUACAGUGGCUUGCACCUGUGGUCUCAGCGACUUGGGCGACUGAAGCAAGAAGAUCACUUGAGCCUAGGAGUUCGAGGCUACAGCAAGCUAUGACCGUGCCACUGCACUCCAGCCUGGGCGUGACAGACCAGCUCUUCUUCUGAAGGAUGACCACCUGGAAUAAGAGCAGCCCUAGGCCCCCCACCUCACUCCAGGUGGCAGAUCCACAGAGAUGGUAGCGAUACAGAAGCACAGCUUCCGAUGGCUUCCCCGUGUCUUCAGUUUGCAGCCUUAUUUCGGUGCUUGGACGUGCUUAACUUCUCAGGAUUAUAUUCUGCUUUGGAGUGCAAGGAGAAAGUCACAGUCUAGUUUUAUGAAGACCAAACUAGAGAAAAUCGAGUUAUCUUAAAGUGUAUGACAUCUCCACAAAUGAAUGUUUAUGGCUUUACACUUGGAGUGUUCUUGGAACACUCUUCAUAGCAAAUCCUCCCUCAGAAGACCCCCACCUGGCAUCAGAACAAACGUCUACCUAAUCUUCCAAACUCUGUGUAAAUCCUGGAUCCACCAUUUACCAGCUGUGUAACCCUGGACAACAAUUCCAUCUUUCUGACCUCAGUGUCUUUCUCUGCAAAACAGCGGUAAGAAUGAUCCUACUUCAAUAGAGUUGCUGUGAGGAUUCACUGAGAUCAUGUGUACCAAGCUCCUACAAUAGUACUGAACCCACAGCCAUGGAUCAAGACCAUUAACUUAUAAUCAGUGAUAGCCAAGAGGAUGGGAAGAGAAUAUUAAGCCUGGUGCUCUGCAAAUUAAUACUUGCAGCUUAAAAAUACGCUGGACAUGCGACAAUGGUGCUGAGUACUUUGGGGGAAGAUCACAACAGUCCUGGUAGCAGUGUCACAGCAAAAUAUUUCAGAGGUACCAGAUGAGCUAGCUCCAAGGCAAAUGAGGCAAUAUUAUGUUUAACUGUUUGUUCGGAAACUUCUUUUAUUAAAAAAGAUUUUAAAUAUUAAUGCUAUUUUCAAUACAGGUGUGAUAACACUCAAUAAAGCAUGGUGUACUUGAUAUAAA
rnacentral:lncRNA from 1 species